CAGCAGCCGCGGUAAUACGGAGGGUGCAAGCGUUAAUCGGAAUUACUGGGCGUAAAGCGCACGCAGGCGGUCUGACAAGUCAGAUGUGAAAUCCCCGGGCUUAACCUGGGAACUGCAUUUGAAACUGUCAGGCUGGAGUCUUGUAGAGGGGGGUGGAAUUCCAGGUGUAGCGGUGAAAUGCGUAGAGAUCUGGGGGAAUACCGGUGGCGAAGGCGGCCCCCUGGACAAAGACUGACGCUCAGGUGCGAAAGCGUGGGGAGCAAACAGGAUUAGAUACCCCGGUAGUCCCUGUCUCUUAUAC
rnacentral:rRNA from 1 species